rnacentral:rRNA from 1 species
AGAGUUUGAUUAUGGCUCAGAACGUACGCUGGCGGCACGCCUAACACAUGCAAGUCGAACGAAGUAGCAAUACUUAGUGGCAGACGGGUGAGUAACAUGUAGGUAUCUGCCCUUUGGUCUGGAAUAACACGAGGAAACUUGUGCUAAUACCGGAUAAGUCUUUACAGAGAAAGCUUUAUGCACCAUUGGAUGAGCCUGCACUUGAUUAGUUUGUUGGUGGGGUAAUGGCCUACCAAGACUGUGAUCAAUAGCUGAUUUGAGAGGAUGAUCAGCCACAUUGGGACUGAGACACGGCCCAAACUCCUACGGGAGGCAGCAGUGGGGAAUCUUGCACAAUGGAGGAAACUCUGAUGCAGCGAUGCCGCGUGAGUGAAGAAGGCCCUUGGGUUGUAAAGCUCUUUCGUCGGGGAAGAAAAUGACUGUACCCGAAUAAGAAGGUCCGGCUAACUUCGUGCCAGCAGCCGCGGUAAUACGAAGGGACCUAGCGUAGUUCGGAAUUACUGGGCUUAAAGAGUUCGUAGGUGGUUGAAAUAGUUGGUGGUGAAAUCCCAGAGCUUAACUCUGGAACUGCCAUCAAAACUUUUCAGCUAGAGUAUGAUAGAGGAAAGCAGAAUUUCUAGUGUAGAGGUGAAAUUCGUAGAUAUUAGAAAGAAUACCAAUUGCGAAGGCAGCUUUCUGGAUCAUUACUGACACUGAGGAACGAAAGCAUGGGUAGCGAAGAGGAUUAGAUACCCUCGUAGUCCAUGCCGUAAACGAUGUGUGUUAGACGUUGGAAAUUUAUUUUCAGUGUCGCAGGGAAACCGAUAAACACACCGCCUGGGGAGUACGACCGCAAGGUUAAAACUCAAAUGAAUUGACGGGGACCCGCACAAGUAGUGGAGCAUGUGGUUUAAUUCGAAGAUACGCGCAGAACCUUACCAACACUUGACAUGUUCGUCGCGACUCUAAGAGAUUAGAGUUUUCGGUUCGGCCGGACGAAACACAGGUGCUGCAUGGCUGUCGUCAGCUCGUGUCGUGAGAUGUUGGGUUAAGUCCCGCAACGAGCGCAACCCUCACUUUUAGUUGCCAUCAUUAAGUUGGGCACUCUGAAAGAACUGCCAGUGAUAAGCUGGAGGAAGGUGGGGAUGACGUCAAGUCCUCAUGGCCCUUACGUGUUGGGCUACACACGUGCUACAAUGGUAUCUACAACAGGAAGCAAGACUGCGAAGUUAAGCAAAUCCCUAAAAGAUACCUCAGUUCGGAUUGCACUCUGCAACUCGAGUGCAUGAAGCUGGAAUUACUAGUAAUCGUGGAUCAGCGUGCCACGGUGAAUGCGUUCCCGGGUCUUGUACACACCGCCCGUCACACCAUGGGAGUUGGUUCUACCUUAAGGCAAGGUUUCAAACCCUUGACCACGGUAUAGUCAGCGACUGGGGUGAAGUCGUAACAAGGUA